rnacentral:rRNA from 1 species
GACGAACGCUGGCGGCGUGCUUAACACAUGCAAGUCGAACGAUGAAGCUGGAGCUUGCUCUAGCGGAUUAGUGGCGAACGGGUGAGUAACACGUGAGCAAUCUGCCCUUGACUCUGGGAUAACUGCGGGAAACUGUAGCUAAUACCGGAUACUUUCACCGGGGGGCAUCCUCUGGUGAUGAAAGAAUUUCGGUCAAGGAUGAGCUCGCGGCCUAUCAGCUUGUUGGUGAGGUAACGGCUCACCAAGGCGACGACGGGUAACCGGCCUGAGAGGGUGACCGGUCACACUGGGACUGAGACACGGCCCAGACUCCUACGGGAGGCAGCAGUGGGGAAUAUUGCACAAUGGGCGCAAGCCUGAUGCAGCAACGCCGCGUGAGGGAUGAAGGCCUUCGGGUUGUAAACCUCUUUUAGCAGGGAAGAAGCGAAAGUGACGGUACCUGCAGAAAAAGCACCGGCUAACUACGUGCCAGCAGCCGCCGCAG